rnacentral:rRNA from 1 species
UACAGAGGUGGCAAGCGUUGUUCGGAAUUACUGGGCGUAAAGGGCUCGUAGGUGGCCAACUAAGUCAGACGUGAAAUCCCUCGGCUUAACCGGGGAACUGCGUCUGAUACUGGAUGGCUUGAGUUCGGGAGAGGGAUGCGGAAUUCCAGGUGUAGCGGUGAAAUGCGUAGAUAUCUGGAGGAACACCGGUGGCGAAGGCGGCAUCCUGGACCGGUAUUGACGCUGAGGCGCGAAAGCUA